rnacentral:rRNA from 1 species
CCUUAUAGUGGGGGAUAGCCUUUCGAAGGAAGAUUAAUACCGCAUAAGAUUGUAGUAUCGCAUGAUAUAGCAAUUAAAGGAGCAAUUCGCUAUAAGAUGGACCCGCGUCGCAUUAGCUAGUUGGUGAGGUAAUGGCUCACCAAGGCGACGAUGCGUAGCCGACCUGAGAGGGUGAUCGGCCACAUUGGGACUGAGACACGGCCCAGACUCCUACGGGAGGCAGCAUG